UGUUGAAUGAAUGAAUGAAUGGGGUCACCAGGUUGCCACUGCAAUCAAUCCCUCUGGUCUUCUGCUAGACAAACUCCUGUCUCAAAUUGUGUCAAUGCUGUUACUUGUUCUUACCCAGUAUAGGGGAGAACCACAGGUGGGCAAAGUAGCUCUACAUACAGCUCCUAUGACUUUCGACGCUUAACUCUUGUGAGGUGAUCAUAGUCUCAUCUCCCCCUGUUUUAUCUCCCCCAGAGUCUCUGCUGAGGCAGAGUCCACACCCUACUAUGACCACUGACUUCUUCCUUCUGAUCCUUAGUUUUUUGGUAUUUGUGUGAAAAAUGUGGCUUUCUCCAGGCAAAGCCCAGAAUGCCACCUGGUCCAAGGACGAUUGUUGGCUAUGAUCUCCUCAGUUACACUUCCUGAGCUGGCUUCUCAGGCUGGUCUACCCUGCUGUGGAUGCAAUUUCAGGAUGAGACUGAGAAGCAGGUCAUCCAGACUGCUGGGUUGAUUUUAAAGGAAACUUUAAUAUCUCCUGGAUAAGCCAGCAAUUGAUUUCUGCAAGUCCUCCAGGACUUUGCACCUUGAGACUUGGGUUCAGAGGCAGCGGAGAAGGCGGACUGUGAACUUCCCUUUGCCUAGAGAACUGGACUACAGCUUAAUGGCUGGGCCCUAAGCAACUCUAGAACACUGCAGUUGUCAGUUGUAGAUAUCCUUUACUCCAAGCCACUUCUGGACCUGCGUGUCCUUGGGGUCCUGGUGCUGAGUCAGCAGCACCUCCCUGCUGUCUUGGCAUUGUGUGGCCAAACUAAGCCAAGUCUGAUAUAAUGAGUCGGUUCAUCUAGAAGCUCACAUCCUGUGCUCUUUUCCAAUAUGACACUCAGCCAGCUGGCACCCAAUAGUGAAGAGCGACUCUGAGAACCGAGGCUGCUUAGGACUCAUGGCCCUGCAGGAGCCAACAGCAAAAUCUCUGUGGAGGGGGAAGCCAUCCUGCUGCCAGGCCUCUCUCUCUGCUCCAUGUCAGUUCCUGUCUGGCAGUGCCAUGGCCCUGGCUGGCAGUCAGAGAUCCACUGCUGGUGCUUGUUGGUGGCUUGGCUCUCUUCCAUCUAGCCAGGGCAUUUGGGCCUUUUUUCUAUGUUCCGCUUAUGAGCUUGGGAAGCGAGCCAGUGGUUCUCCUUGGAAGUUGCCUCCAUCCAUGUCAUUUCCCAUCCUAGUCUCAAGGGAGACAUGUUUCUUUAUCUCUUUCAAAUUGACACCUUCUCUUGCCUUUGGCUCAAAUACAGACACCUCCAGCAGUACCAGUGCUGUGGGGAGGCCAAGGGGCGACGGAGCAUGUACAGGAAGUAGUGGUAGCAAUGUAGAGUUAAAUUCAGUUACCAGUGCUGGAUGAAGCUUUGACUCUCUGGGGUUGUAAGUUAGCUAAGAAGGAAGGCGGUUACAGGCCUCAUUCUUGCCUCCUGAACUGAUUGGCUGUGGCUUUUAUCAGGAACUCACUGGCACUUCUCUGAGCAUCAGUGUUAACUUCCAUCAUGGGCUGAAUUGUGCACCCUCCUCCUCCUCUUCUAAGUUUAUAGGUUGACUUCCUAAUCCACAGUAUCUCAGGAUGUGACUCUAUUUGGAGGUAGGGUCUCUAAGGAGAUUAUUUAGGUAAAAUGAGGUCAUACGACUAGGCCCUAAUCCAAUAUGACUGGUGUCCUUAUAAGAAGAGAUUAGGAUACAGAUAGGUAUAGAGAGAAGACCAUGUGAAGAUAGAGAGAAAGCGGAAAUCUGGAAACCAAGGAGAGGGGGUUUCAGAAGAAACAACCCCGCAGACACCUUGAUCUUGGACUUCCAGUCUCCACAAUGAUGUGGCAGAGAGGAUGUGCAGAAGGGCCAAGAGAACAGUGUCUCAGAUGCUUCCAGUGUUCCCAGCUUCUUCAUGAACUCUCAAGGGAAGCUGCUUUCGCUGCUGCUUUCAAGUGACCUGGAUCUCAUUAAAGAUACUGAUGUGGGGUGUGCUUCUGAGAAGGUGCCUGAGAAAUGAACGUGACUUGCUUGUUGCCUUUGAGGGUCCGUGGGAGAGAAUCACAAUCCGGUCCAGAUCUUAUCUUCUCAGGAAGGGGCACAAAACAACACAGCAAAACAGCUGCCCGGACGAGAAUACCACCUAGUGUCUUCACACCACACACCCACAUGCGGUGAAGUUUCUGUUUCCCAUGAAGAUGAAAGAGGAGGGGAGAGGCGUGUCAGGGAUUCCCUGAGCCCUGAUAGGAGGGCUCAACUGGGAGAAGCGGGGAUUAUCAGGCCAACCCACGUAGAAGGACCCACUCAGCUCUCAGGACGCAUCUCCUCCACCUGGACUGCUCUCCCUGGUGCGGCACUGAGGGACUGAGGGCUCUGGUUUUGUUUUCCAGAAGAGGCGAUCCAUCAAUAAAAAUCUGUGAAACAUGCA